rnacentral:rRNA from 1 species
CCUACGGGUGACAGCAGUGAGGAAUAUUGGUCAAUGGCCGAGAGGCUGAACCAGCCAAGUCGCGUGAGGGAAGACGGCCCUACGGGUUGUAAACCUCUUUUGUCGGGGAGCAAAGAGAGUCACGUGUGACUCAUUGAGAGUACCCGAAGAAAAAGUAUCGGCUAACUCCGUGCCAGCAGCCGCGGUAAUACGGAGGAUGCGAGCGUUAUCCGGAUUUAUUGGGUUUAAAGGGUGCGCAGGGGGAGGUGUAAGUCAGCGGUAAAAUUGCGGGGCUCAACCCCGUACUGCCGUUGAAACUGCAUGCCUUGAGUGCGCGAGAGGUAUGCGGAAUGCGUGGUGUAGCGGUGAAAUGCAUAGAUAUCACGCAGAACUCCGAUUGCGAAGGCAGCAUACCAGCGCGCAACUGACACUCAUGCACGAAAGCGUGGGUAUCGAACAGGAUUAGAUACCCGGGUAGUC